GACGAACGCUGGCGGCGUGCUUAACACAUGCAAGUCGAGCGGUAAGGCCCUUUCGGGGGUACACGAGCGGCGAACGGGUGAGUAACACGUGGGUGACCUGCCCUCAGCUCUGGGAUAAGCCUGGGAAACCGGGUCUAGUACUGGAUAUGACUCCAUGACGCAUGUUGUGGGGUGGAAAGCCUUGUGCGGCUGAGGAUGGGCCCGCGGCCUAUCAGCUUGUUGGUGGGGUGAGGCCUACCAAGGCGACGACGGGUAGCCGGCCUGAGAGGGCGACCGGCCACACUGGGACUGAGACACGGCCCAGACUCCUACGGGAGGCAGCAGUGGGGAAUCUUGCGCAAUGGGCGAAAGCCUGACGCAGCGACGCCGCGUGAGGGAUGACGGCCUGG
rnacentral:rRNA from 1 species